AAGCGGCAACAGCUCAAAUUUGAAAUCUGGCUCUCGGGCCCGAGUUGUAAUUUGUAGAGGAUGCUUUUGAUGCGGUGCCUUCCGAGUUCCCUGGAACGGGACGCCAUAGAGGGUGAGAGCCCCGUCUGGUUGGAUGCCAAAUCUCUGUAAAGCUCCUUCAACGAGUCGAGUAGUUUGGGAAUGCUGCUCUAAAUGGGAGGUAUAUGUCUUCUAAAGCUAAAUACCGGCCAGAGACCGAUAGCGCACAAGUAGAGUGAUCGAAAGAUGAAAAGCACUUUGAAAAGAGAGUUAAAAAGUACGUGAAAUUGUUGAAAGGGAAGCGUUUAUGACCAGACUUGGGCUUGGUUAAUCAUCUGGGGUUCUCCCCAGUGCACUUUUCCAGUCCAGGCCAGCAUCAGUUUUCCCCGGGGGAUAAAGGCGUCGGGAAUGUGGCUCUCUUCGGAGAGUGUUAUAGCCCGUCGUGUAAUACCCUGGGGGGGACUGAGGUUCGCGCAUCUGCAAGGAUGCUGGCGUAAUGGUCAUCAACGACCCG
rnacentral:rRNA from 1 species